rnacentral:lncRNA from 1 species
AUGCACGUGCGGGGCCCCCUGCCCGUGGCCAAGAUCACCCAGGCUGAAGUGUCUGAGCACCUGAAGAUGUGCGAGCAGCGCGUGUCUCCUCUGCUGCCGCUGUCGAGUCCAUCAGCGAAGAGGAGGCCACUCGACUCGGGAAGAAGGACCCGGAACACGAGGUGGAGAAGUUCCUGGUGGCGAACACUCAGGAGCUCAGCAAAGACAAGUGGCUCUGUCCCCUCAGCGGAAAGAAGUUCAAGGCGCCGGAGUUCGUGCGGAAACACAUCCUCAACAAACACGGGGACAAGGUCUCCGCCGUCAGACAGGAAGUCGAGUUCUUCAACAACUUCCUGCUCGACCCCAAGAGACCCGCCCUCCCCGAGAACAAGCCCGUCCCCCCUCCAGCUCCUCCGGCUGCGAUGCAGGCGUUUCCCGGUCAGUCCCCACAGCAGCAGCAGCAGCAGCAGAGCGCCAUGGGAUACCCGCCCGGAGUGAGGCCGCCUCUGCCCGGGUUCCCUGGCGUGGCUCCGUAUCCAGCUCAGUUCGGAGCCGGACGAGGAAACUACGACUUCAGAGGAGGAGGAGGACCGCCGGGAUUUCAGAACAAACCCAGGAGCUCCAGGUCUGGGAGAGUCUCUGCAGUGUUUGGAUAUUUUAAUUUGCUUUAAUGAACGAACGUGAACAGGCUUUGGUUAUUUCAUUAUUAGGAGUCGACCCAUUAACUACUUUUAAUUAAGUUUUAGUUUAAUUUCAGUCACAGAAAUCUGCCUUUUGUCUAAAACUGGUGUGUUUCCAGGGGGAUGAGAGGCGACCCGCGAACCAUCAUCGAAUACCGAGACCUGGACGCCCCCGACGACCUCGACUUUUUUUAGACUUUCACUUCUUUUUUAAUCUUUUUUUUUAUUAUUAUUUUUAUUCCGAGAUUCCUUCCAUUUUGUUGUGUUUCGAGUGAAUGAACGAGUGAGUGGAUUUUGUCACGUUACAAUAAACAUCAUCUGGAGGAGCGCGACCUCUGUGUUUCCUUUCUAACAAACACUUUACUGUGAGCAGAGAAAUUAUAUCGUUAUAAUCGUGGUCAUCGCGCUAGAACAUAAUCACUAAAUCACCAGAAAACCACCAAUGGUCCCUCUUACCGUACUGCUGUGAAUAUAGUGUUACACCACAAGGGGGCCCCGCUCCCCUCAUCAACGCGAGCUUUUAGCAGAAUGAGUCAAUGACAAACUCUGCUGUCAUGGCAACUCCACACUUUGCCUGAAGUGAAUGCACCUCACUAUGCAGGGCUUCAUCAUACUUCACAUAUAACUCAAUUAAAUAAUAUAAUAAUAAUAUAAACCCAAAUUAAAAAUAUAUUGAGGAUGGUAAUGACAACUGGG